UUUAACUGAAGAGUUUGAUCAUGGCUCAGAUUGAACGCUGGCGGCAGGCUUAACACAUGCAAGUCGAGCGGAGAGAGGUAGCUUGCUACUGAUCUUAGCGGCGGACGGGUGAGUAAUACUUAGGAAUCUGGCUAUUAGUGGGGGACAACAUUUCGAAAGGGAUGCUAAUAC
rnacentral:rRNA from 1 species